GAUGAACGCUGGCGGCGUGCCUAAUACAUGCAAGUCGAGCGAACAGACGAGGAGCUUGCUCCUCUGACGUUAGCGGCGGACGGGUGAGUAACACGUGGAUGACCUACCUAUAAGACUGGGAUAACUUCGGGAAACCGGAGCUAAUACCGGAUAAUAUAUUGAACCUCAUUGUUCAAUAGUGAAAGACGGUUUUGCUGUCUCUUAUAGAUGGAUCCGCGCCGCAUUAGCUAGUUGGUAAGGUAACGGCUUACCAAGGCAACGAUGCGUAGCCGACCUGAGAGGGUGAUCGGCCACACUGGAACGGAGACACGGUCCAGACUCCUACGGGAGGCAGCAGUAGGGAAUCUUCCGCAAUGGGCGAAAGCCGGACGGAGCAACGCCGCUUGAGUGAUGAAGGUCUUCGGAUCGUAAAACUCUGUUAUUAGGGAAGAACAAAUGUGUAAGUAACUAUGCACGUCUUGACGGUACCUAAUCAGAAAGCCACGGCUAACUACGUG
rnacentral:rRNA from 1 species